rnacentral:lncRNA from 1 species
GACCCCGGCCAAACUGGGGUUUGUGGCUUCAGUUUGUGCAGAAAGGAACCUCAGGAUUAGGCAGCAUAAAGCAGAGCUGGGUUUUCCUAAGGAUGUUCUAAUAUAGAUCUAAGCAGAAGGGUUAAGAGAAAGCAGUCAGAAGGAUGCACUCAGGUGUGAGUGUGGCUCACCAAGGGAGAGCAGUCUGCAAACACCUUAGUCAUACGUACCAGCCACAUACACCAACCAUACCAUUUUGAUGACUUUCAAAUUACAUGUCAGAAGGUUGCUAAGAAAACUUGUUUUUUCCCUUUCCUAUCUCUUCUGCUAAGUGGGAUUUCAGGAUGGCUUUGGAGCUGCCCUGGAAGGAACUAGAAGCCGAUAUAGUCAAACCAGGUUGUAUUAGGGUUGCACAGGGGGAUGGGACAGGCCCUUUCCCUGUAAAUUGCAAUUCUGGGGAGAUUCCUAGAGAGUUACAGGUUAAGCCAGAAAGGGAGCAGGCCUUAAGCAGCGGUUAAGCUGCUCUGGCAUUCUUGCUGCUCUGAUGACAGAGCUGCCAACCAGAUUCUUAGGUGAGGUACUGCUUUCAUGACCCAUGGUUUUUGCUGUUUUUGUCUACUGGCUUGCUUAUCAGCUGGAAAAAUUAAUGUUAAUGCCAUUUGGUGGUGCCUAAUAAAUAUAUACCAAAUCCAGUA